UCAAUGGAGAGUUUGAUCCUGGCUCAGGACGAACGCUGGCGGCGUGCUUAACACAUGCAAGUCGAACGAUGAAGUUCCUUCGGGAAUGGAUUAGUGGCGAACGGGUGAGGAACACGUGAGAAACCUGCCUUUCAUUUUGGGAUAACACCGGGAAACCGGUGCUAAUACUGGAUACUCCGUCUUGGCGGCAUCGCUAAGCCGGGAAAGAUUUUUCGAUGAAAGAUGGUCUCGCGGCCUAUCAGCUAGUUGGUGAGGUAACGGCUCACCAAGGCGACGACGGGUAGCCGGCCUGAGAGGGCGACCGGCCACACUGGGACUGAGACACGGC
rnacentral:rRNA from 1 species